GACGGUCUUGCUGUCACUUAUAGAUGGAUCCGCGCUGCAUUAGCUAGUUGGUAAGGUAACGGCUUACCAAGGCAACGAUGCAUAGCCGACCUGAGAGGGUGAUCGGCCACACUGGAACUGAGACACGGUCCAGACUCCUACGGGAGGCAGCAGUAGGGAAUCUUCCGCAAUGGGCGAAAGCCUGACGGAGCAACGCCGCGUGAGUGAUGAAGGUCUUCGGAUCGUAAAACUCUGUUAUUAGGGAAGAACAUAUGUGUAAGUAACUGUGCACAUCUUGACGGUACCUAAUCAGAAAGCCACGGCUAACUACGUGCCAGCAGCCGCGGUAAUACGUAGGUGGCAAGCGUUAUCCGGAAUUAUUGGGCGUAAAGCGCGCGUAGGCGGUUUUUUAAGUCUGAUGUGAAAGCCCACGGCUCAACCGUGGAGGGUCAUUGGAAACUGGAAAACUUGAGUGCAGAAGAGGAAAGUGGAAUUCCAUGUGUAGCGGUGAAAUGCGCAGAGAUAUGGAGGAACACCAGUGGCGAAGGCGACUUUCUGGUCUGUAACUGACGCUGAUGUGCGAAAGCGUGGGGAUCAAACAGGAUUAGAUACCCUGGUAGUCCACGCCGUAAACGAUGAGUGCUAAGUGUUAGGGGGUUUCCGCCCCUUAGUGCUGCAGCUAACGCAUUAAGCACUCCGCCUGGGGAGUACGACCGCAAGGUUGAAACUCAAAGGAAUUGACGGGGACCCGCACAAGCGGUGGAGCAUGUGGUUUAAUUCGAAGCAACGCGAAGAACCUUACCAAAUCUUGACAUCCUUUGACAACUCUAGAGAUAGAGCCUUCCCCUUCGGGGGACAAAGUGACAGGUGGUGCAUGGUUGUCGUCAGCUCGUGUCGUGAGAUGUUGGGUUAAGUCCCGCAACGAGCGCAACCCUUAAGCUUAGUUGCCAUCAUUAAGUUGGGCACUCUAAGUUGACUGCCGGUGACAAACCGGAGGAAGGUGGGGAUGACGUCAAAUCAUCAUGCCCCUUAUGAUUUGGGCUACACACGUGCUACAAUGGACAAUACAAAGGGUAGCGAAACCGCGAGGUCAAGCAAAUCCCAUAAAGUUGUUCUCAGUUCGGAUUGUAGUCUGCAACUCGACUACAUGAAGCUGGAAUCGCUAGUAAUCGUAGAUCAGCAUGCUACGGUGAAUACGUUCCCGGGUCUUGUACACACCGCCCGUCACACCACGAGAGUUUGUAACACCCGAAGCCGGUGGAGUAACCUUUUAGGAGCUAGCCGUCGAAGGUGGGACAAAUGAUUGGGGUGAAGUCGUAACAAGGUAGCCGUAUCGGAAGGUGCGGCUGGAUCACCUCCUUU
rnacentral:rRNA from 1 species